AUGUCGGAGAUGCAAGGGCUUGAGGUAGGUCCUGUUGUAAUGUUGCUUGAGCUGCUGCUGCUGUGUCUGUAUGCAUUCUCGUUGGGCGUCAGGUGUUGUUGUUUAUGCGUGAAGGUUUGCUUCUGUGGAGCUUUGCUUGACCUAGUUUGCCUUGCACAAAGAUCUGCGGGCUUGGAUUAUACUGCAAAUAUAGUGGAUUGUGCCAUCCCCUCUAAUUUUUGUUUGCCUUUGCUUGACCUGUUUAAAUUCUGCAAGGUGUCUGUGGGGUUGGAUAAUUCUGGUGGCCAGAUGCCAGUCCCUUUUCCUGGCACUCUUUGGGGGUAUUUCGAGGCAUGUCCAUGCAACGUGUGCUUCAAGAGGGCCCCUUUCUGA
rnacentral:rRNA from 1 species